GUGCAAGCCACGUACUUCACACGGCUUGAGACAAUCAAUCAGUAAAGAGUUUACUAAAAUGAAGGUGACAGCAUUGAUCCUACUUGUACUGACAUAUUCAUCCUUAACUUCUCCAAGCACAACAGAACUGUUUUUCAGUUAUGCAAACACAACAACAG